rnacentral:rRNA from 1 species
CAUGCAAGUCGAACGAGAAAGUUCCUUCGGGAACAAGUACAGUGGCGCACGGGUGAGUAAUAUGUAGAUAAUCUGCCCCUAAGUUUGGGACAACCAACCGAAAGGUUGGCUAAUACCGAAUGAGACCCCACUUUCCACGGAAAGAGAGGUUAAAGAUUUAUCGCUUAGGGAUGAGUCUACAUCCGAUUAGCUUGUUGGUGAGGUAAAGGCUCACCAAGGCUGGGAUCGGUAGCUGGUCUGAGAGGAUGUCCAGCCACACUGGAACUGAGACACGGUCCAGACUUCUACGGAAGGCAGCAGUAGGGAAUUUUGCGCAAUGGGGGAAACCCUGACGCAGCAACACCACGUGAGUGAUGAAGGCCUUCGGGUUGUAAAACUCUGUUCUUAGGGAAUAAAAAAAUGAAGGUACCUAAGGAGAAAGGACUGGCUAACUUCGUGCCAGCAGCCGCGGUAAUACGAAGGGUCCAAGCGUUGUUCGGAAUCAUUGGGCGUAAAGUGGGUGUAGGUGGUUAAGUAAGUCAGAAGUGAAAGCCCUGAGCUCAACUCAGGAAGUGCUUUUGAUACUGCUUGACUAGAAUGUAGGAGAGGAUAGUGGAAUUC